rnacentral:rRNA from 1 species
GACGAACGCUGGCGGUGUGCUUAACACAUGCAAGUCGAACGGUAAGGCCCUUUCGGGGGUACACGAGUGGCGAACGGGUGCGUAACACGUGAGUAACCUGCCCUCAUCUCUGGGAUAACAGUCGGAAACGGUUGCUAAUACUGGAUAUGAGCUUGCAAGGCAUCUUGUGGGUUGGAAAGAUUUUUUUUGGUUGGGGAUGGACUCGCGGCCUAUCAGCUUGUUGGUGAGGUAGUGGCUCACCAAGGCUUCGACGGGUAGCCGGCCUGAGAGGGCGACCGGCCACAUUGGGACUGAGAUACGGCCCAAACUCCUACGGGAGGCAGCAGUGGGGAAUAUUGCACAAUGGACGGAAGUCUGAUGCAGCAACGCCGCGUGCGGGAUGACGGCCUUCGGGUUGUAAACCGCUUCCAAUUGUGACGAAGCUUUUUUGUGACGGUAGCAGUAGAAGAAGCACCGGCUAACUACGUG